ACAUGUAUACUACAUAACAUUAAUGCAUCAGAUCCCAUUAGAACUCCACAAUUAAGCGUGCUCAUGCUAGAGUAGUACUAGGAUGGGUGAACGCCCAGAAAGUCCUAAUGUUUUACAUGCC
rnacentral:rRNA from 1 species